UACAGAGGUCCCAAGCGUUGUUCGGAUUCACUGGGCGUAAAGGGUGCGUAGGUGGUGAGGUAAGUCGGAUGUGAAAGCUCGGAGCUCAACUCCGAAAUGGCAUUGGAAACUACCUUGCUCGAGGGUUGGAGGGGGGACUGGAAUACUUGGUGUAGCAGUGAAAUGCGUAGAUAUCAAGUGGAAUACCAGUGGCGAAGGCGAGUCCCUGGACAACUCCUGACACUGAGGCACGAAAGCUAGGGGAGCAAACAGG
rnacentral:rRNA from 1 species